rnacentral:rRNA from 1 species
UUGUAUUACCGGGGGUGGGGGCACUGGUGGAACUCCUACGGGAGGCAGCAGUAGGGAAAUUUCCACAAAUGAACGAAAUCUGAUGACAACGCCGCGUGAGUGAAAAAACCUCGCUCCGAAACUCUUUUUGAAGAAGACAUACUUAAGUACUUUCAGAACUUGCGUUCCUCCGUUGACCCGGUUAC